AAAUUAUUAAUGAGAAUGAUAACAAUAGUAAGUUCAGUAAUAACGCUAAUGGCAAAAUAAGAUAAGCAAUGUCUAUCGAAACAAACGCACAAACAAACACACAAGCUUCAUAAGAACUUAUACUUAUGACUUGAUAAUAGGGCUUAUUUGUAGGGUUAUAUGGGCAAGUGAGAAUGCUCAUACCUGAACAGUCAUUCCAUCCUAAGUAUUAGGUACAUUUCAUCACUCAUGGAGUUAAUUGUUCUAUCUACAGAAAGUAUAUCUGCUAUAGCGAUCUUAGUGAUUAUUGAUAACUCUAAUAGUACUAUGUCUCUAAUCGUUAAUGCUUUACUUACAAGUCAUGGUUAGGAUUUAAAACUAAGUCUAGUUCACGUAUCCUGAUCGACCCACGCGUUGCUGACAAAAUGUGGCCGGGCUUUACAUAUUCUCUGACUCUUGAUAUGCUGUCUCAUUUAUCCUACGUUUCCGAUCAGAUUUGUCCCUAAUAAAGCAAGAAAAUGUUUGCAAAUGGUCAAGUUUCAUACUGCGUUUGUGUUUCAUCGUUAGUUAUAUCUCUACUGUAUUAUCCAUUUUAUCCAGAUUUCUUACGAGGGUAUUGUAGCCUCUGUUCAGUAAUAUAAACUUUCAUUAAUCACUUUACUAUUUUUUAAAUAUUUUCCCCAACGAAAAAUCUUUUCAUCUUUCAGUUUUAUUCUUUGUCUGUUAAGUGGUGGCCAUUGUUUUUUGUUGCCUUUGGAAUUCACGGUCAAAAUUAUGAUACUAAAUAAUACAAUGAUCACUUACACACAUAAAUACAUAUACACGCAUUCAUAUACAUAUAUAAAUCGAUCAAUCCAUCCGGAUAUCUAUCUGUCUGUCUAUGGAACUGUCUACUGUCGGUCUAUACAUAUCACAGACGAUUUUGUUUCCUGCUCUUCCCUUCUUUAUUUUGUUUACAAUUUGGUCUCAUGAUUCCUUAUCUCCACACUGUGCUUAUCAGCUGCUUCCGGGGAGAACCUGGUUCGAUGGAGGGAUGCCUUGGCUUUUUCUUGAUUUCCUUUGACGGCGAUACAAGAUUAGGAAACGGAUUAAAGGGAUUAUUCAGAGUUCGUCGAUGGCUGUGCUUUGACGUCAUUCUUCCAACUUAUAAGGCGAAACUCUUGUCCUGACAAGUCACUCUAAAAGAGGAUCUCACAGAACACCAAAUAUCUCAAUCGUGUGUCUACAAUAAUUUGAAAAUGUUCGAUAUUAAGUUUCACAGCUUGGUCGCGUCUCUGUCGCUGCUGGUCGUCGCAGGAGUGAGUCACGGCCUCCCAGCCGCCGUCACGGCCCCUCCUCAGGUGGCCGCUCAGUGCCCCUACACGCCGGGGCCGAUCCCUAUGCUGCUGCCCAACCCCGUCGACUGCGGCUCCUUCUACAUGUGCAGCUGGUACGGGACGGCCCUGUUGCAGCACUGUCCGUCUGUGCUGCACUUCAACGUCAAGCUGCAGGUGUGUGACUCUCCUGCAAACGCCAACUGUGUCCAGAGAACCACAGCCGCUCCUGUUUCUAUCACCACCACUGCUGUGUCAAUAUCUAAUAUGACUUCAGCUGUUCCAGUCUCCAACGUAACUACAGUUGUCCCAACCUCCAAUAUAACUACAGCUUCUCCAAUCAGCACUGUAACCACACCUGUUACUAUCGCCAAUGCGACCACUGCUGUCCCUUCUCCUUUGUGACCGCAGCGGUUUCAGUGUAACCGCAGCUGCAUCCAGUUGUUCUAGUCUCCUGUAUCUCCAGUUGCUCCAGUAUCCAGAGUAACUCAAAGGGACGAUAACAAUUGUCAUCAAAAUGUUUCUUCGUAUAUCAUAUUUUAUUUCGGAAUAAACUUAAAAAAAAAAAAAAGAAAAAAAAUUGGACGUUCAUUUCCUGAUUCUUCUUGAUUUACAAAACUCAAAAAAUAAAUCUUAUAAACUUUACAAAACAAUUGAAGUGAAGAAAGAUUAAAGAACAUUACACAUGGACACUCGUACAAUAUAAUGAAGAGAAAAAUAAAGAAAUAAUUAACAAAUAAGAAUUAAAGCUGUUGAAAGCCAUAUUGACAACGUAUUAAAGAGCAAAAGAAAGAGAUAAUUACAAGGUCAUGAUUGCUCUCACUGCAGAAUAAGGUCAAGUCAAGAAUUUACUGGCGUUAGGAAAUCUGAAGACAACCGGUCCCCAGGUCUUCUGAAGGCGAGUGCACCACAGGACUAAGAGGCAUGAAACACUGCACUCCAUUUUCUGGAAAAAGGGUCGUAUGUUGCGUGCAAAUAUGUGCACAGUGGGACGAGGCUUGUCAAGGAUCAGAAAAUAUGCAAAGAUGCAUUUAUGUACCUUCUUUUACUAGCGUUGGUUCGGGAAUUCAAAUGACUGCACUGAUAUUUCGUAAGUUUCAAAUAUUUGUGUCGGUAGCUGUGAACAAUAGGUCUUAAUCAAUAUUGCUCCUUUCAGGAAUUUGCAUUUAUAACCCCAUGGAUUGUGAAUCAUAACAAGCAGUGUUCUGUAUGCUACGUUGAUCAUUCCAUUCUCCGUUGUGGGUACAGAGCUUCAUGCCCAACUAUCUAGUCACUUACCCGUCUUCUACAAAUGUAUGUAUUCAAUUCGAUUUCAUUCUUAUUUUAUCACUUAUUUUCUUCUCUUUCUUUCGUCCUCCUGUUUUAAGGAGAGGCCAUUAUUUUUCUUUAGUUUUCUGUUGCCUUUGAAAUUCACGGUCAAUAUUAUAUGAUACUACAUAAUCCAAUGGUUACAUACACAUAUACACAUGCGCGCACGGAUGCAUAUAUAUGUAUAUAUACACAUAAACAUACAUAUAAGUACAUCUAUCCAUCUGGUUAUCUAUCUAUCUGUCUGUCUAUGGAACUGUCUACUGUCGCGUUUGUAUGUGCCACACACGAUUUUGCUUCCUGCUCUUCCUUUUGUUUUGUUUACAAUUUGCUCUCAUGAAUCCUUAUCUCCACACUGUGCUUAUCAGCUGCUUCCGGGGAGAACCUGGUUCGAUGGAGGGAUGCCUUGGCUUUUUCUUGAUUUCCUUUGACGGCGAUACAAGAUUAGGAAACGGAUUAAAGGGAUUAUUCUGAGUAUGUCGAUGGCUGUGCUUUGACGUCAUUCUUCCAACUUAUAAGGCGAAACUAUCGUCCAGACAAGUCACUCGAAAAGAGGAUCUUAAAGAACACGAAACGUCUCAUUCAUCUGUCGACAUUUUUAGUUUUGGAGUCUUCGAUAUGAAGUUUCACAGCUUGGUCGCGUCUCUGUCGCUGCUGGUCGUCGCAGGAGUGAGUCACGGCCUCCCAGCCGCCGUCACGGCCCCUCCUCAGGUGGCCGCUCAGUGCCCCUACACGCCGGGG
rnacentral:misc_RNA from 1 species